UACGAAGGGGGCAAAUGUUGUUCGGAAUCACUGGGCGUAAAGGGAGCGUAGGCGGGUUCUUAAGUAAGGUGUUUAAUCCCGGGGCCCAACCCCGGACCGGCACUUUAAACUGGGAAUCUUGAAUAGUGGAGAGGUCGGUGGAAUUGGGGGUGUAGCGGUGGAAUGCGUAGAGAUCCCCAAGAACACCAGUUGCGAAGGCGGCCGACUGGACACAUAUUGACGCUGAGGCUCGAAAGCAUGGGGAGCAAACAGG
rnacentral:rRNA from 1 species